AGGACCAUAUUGUUAACAUACAAGCACAAGACCCAUUCAGUUGAUUCCAAUGGUGGGAUCAUCUCCAAUGCAGACAUUGAUUUCUACAUGAACAAUGACAUGAUCUACGUUGUGGAAUCAAAACCCGUAAAACGUUAUGGGGAUUUCUUCUUGCGCCAGAUUGCCAAGCUCGAAGGCGUGAUAAACGAUAUGGACCGCGU